UACGUAGGGUGCAAGCGUUAAUCGGAAUUACUGGGCGUAAAGCGUGCGCAGGUUGCCUUGCAAGACUUUUGUGAAAUCCCCAGGCUCAACCCGGGAACUGCAAAAGUGACUGCAAAGCUAGAGUAGGGAAGAGGGGGGUAGAACUCCACGUGUAGCAGUGAAAUGCGUAGAUAUGUGGAAGAACACCGACGGCGAAGGCAGCCCCCUGGUACCAAACUGACACUCAAGCACCAAAGCGUGGGGAGCAAACAGG
rnacentral:rRNA from 1 species